rnacentral:rRNA from 1 species
UACGUAGGGUGCGAGCGUUGUCCGGAAUUACUGGGCGUAAAGAGCUCGUAGGUGGUUUGUCGCGUUGUUCGUGAAAACUCACAGCUCAACUGUGGGCGUGCGGGCGAUACGGGCAGACUGGAGUACUGCAGGGGGAGACUGGAAUUCCUGGUGUAGCGGUGGAAUGCGCAGAUAUCAGGAGGAACACCGGUGGCGAAGGCGGCCCGCUGGGCUGUGGCUGACGCUGAGGCGCGACAGCGUGGGGAGCAAACAGG